rnacentral:sRNA from 1 species
AGUGCCCCUGUCCCCACCGAGGGGACUAUGGGAGCCAUGGAGGGUGCGUGAGCAGCAGGUGAGACUGGAGCCAGCUGAAAACUGGGAGACCGACCCAGCCAACAAACAAUGUCGGUCUCUGUCCUGGCACCCGCAGGAAACAAGCUCCUACUUCCAGAAAAAGUGCUCCUGGGACUCAAGGAUACCAAGCAUCUGGCAUUUCCGGCGGAAGUUGCUGGGCGUGGAAAGCCGGCAAGCCCUUUUUUCCGCCAUCGUCGCUCACGCGCGCAACCCUGGCGACGCGUGGUGCCGUGGCUCCGCCUCCCCAUGCCAUUGGCCAGCAGCUCCUCGGGCACGCGUAUACUGCGCUUCCGGGCAAUCUCCGCCCCGCAUGGCCUUCUGGGAGUUGUAGUUCGAUCGCGAGCGCUGCCGUCGGGAGGCUGCUCCGAGGUUCGAGGCUGUGCCCCGCGACCCCGCCUUCGGCGCUCGGCUC